rnacentral:misc_RNA from 1 species
GAUGAAGAACGUAGUGAAAUGCGAUAAGUAAUGUGAAUUGCAGAAUUCAGUGAAUCAUCGAAUCUUUGAACGCACAUUGCACUCAUUAGUAUUCUAGUGAGUAUGCCUGUUCGAGCGUCAUUUCAACCCUUAAGCCUAGCUUAGUGUUGGGACUCUACCCUAACCGGUAGUUCCCCAAAAUCAGUUGGCGGAGUUCAGUCGGCUCUGAGUGUAGUAAUUUUCUCUCGCUUUAGAAGUCUUCUGGAUUACGGCCAGAAAGAGACGAGUCUCGCAUCUCGGUGCGUUUCUCAACUUUUUUUUACAAUGGUUGACCUCGGAUCAGGUAGGAAUACCCGCUGAACUUAAGCAUAUCAAUAAGCGGAGGA